rfam:Cephalotus follicularis DNA, scaffold: scaffold12841, isolate: St1.
AGGAGCGACCAUAUCAGCACUAAUGCACCGGAUUCCAUCGAAACGUCGAAGUUAAGUGCUUGAGUUGGAAUAGUUCUAAGGUGGGCUUGUCUUAUGACUUCCAUAGGUUCAGGCUAGUGGCUUGAC